rnacentral:rRNA from 1 species
UACGUAGGUGGCAAGCGUUGUUCGGAAUUACUGGGCGUAAAGCGUGCGCAGGCGGUUAUGUAAGACAGAUGUGAAAUGCCCGGGCUUAACCUGGGAACUGCAUUUGUGACUGCAUGGCUAGAGUUUGGCAGAGGGGGGUAGAAUUCCACGUGUAGCAGUGAAAUGCGUAGAUAUGUGGAGGAACACCGAUGGCGAAGGCAGCCCCCUGGGUCAAGACUGACGCUCAUGCACGAAAGCGUGGGGAGCAAACAGGG